rnacentral:rRNA from 1 species
ACAGGGAUUGCCUUAGUAGCGGCGAGUGAAGCGGCAAAAGCUCAAAUUUGAAAUCUGGCUCUUUCAGAGUCCGAGUUGUAAUUUGAAGAAGGUAUCUUUGGGUCUGGCUCUUGUCUAUGUUUCUUGGAACAGAACGUCACAGAGGGUGAGAAUCCCGUGCGAUGAGAUGAUCCAGGCCUAUGUAAAGUUCCUUCGAAGAGUCGAGUUGUUUGGGAAUGCAGCUCUAAGUGGGUGGUAAAUUCCAUCUAAAGCUAAAUAUUGGCGAGAGACCGAUAGCGAACAAGUACAGUGAUGGAAAGAUGAAAAGAACUUUGAAAAGAGAGUGAAAAAGUACGUGAAAUUGUUGAAAGGGAAGGGCUUGAGAUCAGACUUGGUAUUUUGUAUGUUACUUCUUCGGGGGUGGCCUCUACAGUUUAUCGGGCCAGCAUCAGUUUGGGCGGUAGGAGAAUUGCGUUGGAAUGUGGCACGGCUUCGGUUGUGUGUUAUAGCCUUCGUCGAUACUGCCAGCCUAGACUGAGGACUGCGGUUUAUACCUAGGAUGUUGGCAUAAUGAUCUUAAGUCGCCCGUCUUGAAACACGGACCAAGGAGUCUAACGUCUAUGCGAGUGUUUGGGUGUAAAACCCGUACGCGUAAUGAAAGUGAACGUAGGUGGGGGCCCGUAUGGGUGCACCAUCGACCGAUCCUGAUGUCUUCGGAUGGAUUUGAGUAAGAGCAUAGCUGUUGGGACCCGAAAGAUGGUGAACUAUGCCUGAAUAGGGUGAAGCCAGAGGAAACUCUGGUGGAGGCUCGUAGCGGUUCUGACGUGCAAAUCGAUCGUCGAAUUUGGGUAUAGG